UUCAGCUCUGUGGACAUGCAUUAAUUUGAAAGAUUUGACAGACAUGUUCUGGAGCACAGAAAUCAAAAUCAAAGGAUGUUGAUCAAAGACAUGACCUAUCUCUGCUAUAUAGGCCUUCUCAGCCAAGACUAGCUACAUUUUUACACACUGAUCAAAAUGCACAAAUAGCUCUCUCAUAUUAAAUUUUUGGGGAAAAAACCCCCACAGUGUAUUUUUUUAUGCUUUAAAAAGAUGCAUUUACAUUCAGUAUGACUGAAGGACAGUGAUAUUAGAGUCUUUAUUAUGCAAAAUCUGCACUCUGUUUUUGCAGAUAUCCUGACUGUGAAUUUGCUGACCUUUUUCUAAUGCUGCCUGUAUGCAUACCUCAGAAAACCAUAAUCCAAUGUAAUACUAGACCACCUGAGUAUUACCAUAAUUUUAUAUGCAUUUCAUUCCACGUUCCACCCCUCUUUUCCUCUUACAUGUUAUGGCUGGCAUACCACAUGUCUCCCCUGCUUCCUUUCUGCCCCAGACAUCUGCAGUGUCAGCAGUGUGGUCUUACAUCCUCCCCUCUCCACUCAAGCCAUGAAAACUGCAGGGUAAUCCUUUGAAUUGCUGCCUCCUUAGCGUCCUUCCCACCACUUCUUUCCCGUAAAGGAUUAGCAGAUGUUUCCUCAAAACAUCUGCCAUUUCUCACCUUUCCCUCAUUUACCUCACUCGCCAUAUAACCUUAUUUUCCUGGAGCACUUUAUUACUCUUUGUUUGCCACUGACAAAUGUCCCUGUGGUACUCCUCACCUAUCCAGCCCUCACCUAUCCAGCCCCACACAGGCGCUGUGUCUGACCCCGUUUUGGCAGGGUGUGCCAAACUGGGGCAGGAGCUGUGGCCGUCCAAAUUGGGGCAGGAGCUGUGGCCAUCUGCUGCACCUGUUGUUUCAUGGCUCCUCGCCAUGCUGGAGCAGCCCCUGUCUCUCAAGCAGGAGGGCUGCAGAGAGCAGUUGAGAUCAAUAAAUCACCCAGACACGUCAGGUAUGCCCAGCCACAGCAGUAAGGGCAGCUGCUGAGCGCAACCCAAGCGCCUCUUGGAAAACUCUUCUGUAAACAAAUCUGCCACUGAAUUUUUGGGCACAUAUACUGAGCAUUCUGGACAGCACCCUGCUGAUAUAGAGAUGAGAGGUUCACAGCUUUCUUUGAUCUGUGAUCAUGCUAAACUUGGCUCCUGCUCAGCAGACAGCAAUGCUUCUUGUCUGUGUUUUAGGAAGAAUCUGCUCUUUUGUUAAAGUGUAUUGAGAAGGUGUUUUUCUGAGUCUCUGCAUGACCCACGGGCAUCACCACUAGUUUGAAAUUGAACUUGGGCCUGAACAGUUUCAGUAGUUGCCAAAUAUAAAGAAAAAUGAAUAGAAAGAUCUCCUGGCAUUGAUGAGUUCUAGAACUAAGGGAGAUUAACAAGUAGAAAGAAAGAGAAGUUGUUAUCUCUGCCUUGCAUGCCGAAAUGCAUUUAGAGCAUUCGGUUCUGCAUAUCAUCUCAACAAAUCCUAAAGACUGGAUCCCAGACCGUAGGAUUCUCUGACUCUGAUCCUGCUCUGGUCUUGAUCUUUUGUGUCAGAAAGGGCCCUAGAGACAUCUCUGCCUUCUGGAAAUCAAAUUUUAAGAAAACCAGAUAUUGACUAUUGACAGAUAUUGAUGAUGACAUUGGUGAUGAUGAAGAGGAGAAGCUUGAUGAAGAGUAAAAGGAGAAGGAAGAGAAAAUGUGGUAGAGAAAGGAGGAUAAAGUAGAGAAAGGAGGAUAAAAUGUGGUAGAGAAAGGCCAGGGGAUCCCAGAAAUACAGUUCUCAAAGUAUCCUUUCUGGCACAGUUGUGUUAGAGGACUGAACUGAGAAGCCUUUCUCAUGUAGGACCUUUGCUGCCAUGAUGAAAAGAAAUUACUUGCAUCAUCUCUUAAUGUGACUAGAGCAGUUCUGCUCCUUUUCAAACAUGUCAGCCGCUCAAACCACCCAGCUUUUUCUUGGUAGCUCUGGAAAUAGGAAUGCCAGGAUCUUAUUGAGGACAACCAUUCUAUAUAACACUGUCCAGCCAGCAUUGCUUGUGAAAAAACAAAAGUUAUUUUCUAAGUCAAAACUGUUUUUCACAGAGAUGUGAUCACGUUAGUGUUGAGCAACCCAAGAUUAUUCCUCCUGUUCAUGUGACCAUUGCAAGAGUAUCCCCAGUACUCACAAAAGUAAAAAUUUUUGCCAUCAAAGACCAGUUUUGAAACUUUGCAAGUGAGGAUUUUCACCACUAUCCCAUAUGAAAAUUAAACACGGGACUGCUUGAUGCAUUGGCUAAUGUGAAUCCAGGAUUUUGGAGAACAGAUAAAAAAUAAAAUUGUGUUAAUAGAAUAUGGAGUAUGAUAAACUACUUUUGGUUUUAAUGUUUUCCAGAAGUCUCUCAUCCGGUACAUCAACACUGAAGGAAGAGGAUGCCAUCUUGCCCAUCUGCAUGGACAGAGCUCAUGCUAAGCAUGUUUAUGUCAUUUUCACCCUGAAAUAAUUAGAUUGCCAUUAAUUCUUGUCUCAAUACAGUCAAGAUCUAAUUAACUACAUGUGUAUCUACUAUGAUUUUUAGCUUAUUCACAUAUACUAGCUGGUGUUUUCACUACAUAAAAAAAUUAAUACAAGGAGGUCUGAAUCUUGCUCUGCCUUUCAGGAGAAGCUCUCCUUCACAAUCAGCAUGCGUGAUGGUAAGAACCAAGAUAUUUUGUCUGGGCAGAAGAACCCACCUCUGCAGCAGGCAUAAAUGCUUCCCAGCUCAGGCAAUGGCAUGUGUGGGAGUGAAACAGCCCAGGGGAGAAAAGAGGUGUGCAAGGACAUGCAUACCUCUUUAAUAAACAUCCCUUCAAUGAAAUACAUGCUGUGGACCAGGCCUUGCUUAAAGACAAGUUUCAAGCUGAAAGGUAUGUAAGCAUGCUGAGACCAUUUCAACAGCAUAAAACAGAUAACAAAAUAAUCUGUCUGCAGCUGUAAGUUUUCUUUUCUUUAUGCACAGCUGCCUCUAAAUAAGGAGAUUGUAAUGCUGAUCUUUGGAUUCCUGAAUAAAUUCAUUCCUUACUUUAUCUUCAAGCCUGUCUGGUGGUAGGAGUGAUUUAAGUAUAACUGGCAAGCCACCAUCAUUCCAUUCCCAUAUAAGCCACAGUUCAGUAAAGGGGUGGACUGUUCUCUUACAAAAAAUACAAAACCAGAGGUAACCAUUUGCUUCUUCACAAGUUGCAUGAGAUAUUGUGGAAGUUGGUAAUGAGACUUGUAAAGGAAGUCUUCUUGGACACAAUCUUUAUCUCUGGAAAGCUGGAAAAGUGCCUCAUCAAGGAUCUCAAUCAAAUUCAGGGUGCUAGAGUUGGCUCAACUUCAUGACCUUUAGGAUGCAGAUGAGGCUGCUGCAGCUAUGUGUGCAUGGGUCCAGCCUGUAGUGAGGCUGAGCAUAUGUUCCUGACAGGCAAACACACACAUGCACGCAAAAUGCACAUUGCUGGUUACAUGGAUCAGCAAAAAGGGAGUCAUGCUGCAUGCUGUCUUGGCACUGCUGCCUCCACAGUGGAUAUCCAAACAAAGUAAAACUACUUCUUAAACACAGAGGAAUAGCUGAUCUCCAAUUCUACUUGCAUGGGUAAGACCAAGUUUCCACAAGGAAUCUUGAUGGAGUCCAUCUUGGAAUAUCCCACUUGAAAUAUGCAAAAGAAUGAUUUCUAGAGGAUUCAAAGGCUGAUGAAAUUCAGUCCUCUGAAAGCUUAAUCUUCCCACAGAACAGAAUCUGUCCACUCCUCUGGAAGCACAAGU
ensembl:lncRNA